GCUGACACAUCCCUGCCAAUCUCCGGCAGACCCUCCCUCCUAGACCCUCCUACUUCCUGGACAGCAUCCAUGUUGAAGGCAGCUUCAACAUGGAUGCUGUCCAGGAGGUGGGAGGGUCUGGGAGGGAGGGUCUGCCGGAGAUUGGCAGGGAUGUGUCAG
rnacentral:miRNA from 1 species